AUUUAUGUAAUAUAAUUAUUAUAUCUGACUUCCAAUCAGAAAAUCUAGUAAUUUCUCUAGCAUGAAUA
rnacentral:tRNA from 1 species